GAGUUUGAUCCUAGCUCAGGAUGAACGCUGGCGGCGUGCCUAACACAUGCAAGUCGAGCGAAGCAUACAGGAGGAAGUUUUCGGAUGGAAUCCUGCAUGGCUGAGCGGGCGGACGAGUGAGUAGCGGCGUGGGUAACCUGCCUUAUACAGGGGGAUAACAGUUAGAAAUGACUGCUAAUACCGCAUAAGCGCACAGUACCGCAAUGGUAGUGUGUGAAAAACUCCGGUGGUAUAAGAUGGACCCGCGUCUGACUAGCCAGUUGGCGAGGUAACGGCUCACCAAGGCGACGAUCAGUAGCUGGUCUGAGAGGAUGAUCCGCC
rnacentral:rRNA from 1 species